rnacentral:rRNA from 1 species
GAUUAAGUUAUUAAGGGCGCACGGUGGAUGCCUUGGCACUAGAAGCCGAUGAAGGACGUUACUAACGACGAUAUGCUUUGGGGAGCUGUAAGUAAGCUUUGAUCCAGAGAUUUCCGAAUGGGGAAACCCAGCAUGAGUUAUGUCAUGUUAUCGAUAUGUGAAUACAUAGCAUAUCAGAAGGCACACCCGGAGAACUGAAACAUCUUAGUACCCGGAGGAAGAGAAAGAAAAUUCGAUUCCCUUAGUAGCGGCGAGCGAAACGGGAAGAGCCCAAACCAACAAGCUUGCUUGUUGGGGUUGUAGGACACUCUAUACGGAGUUACAAAGGACGACAUUAGACGAAUCAUCUGGAAAGAUGAAUCAAAGAAGGUAAUAAUCCUGUAGUCGAAAAUGUUGUCUCUCUUGAGUGGAUCCUGAGUACGACGGAGCACGUGAAAUUCCGUCGGAAUCUGGGAGGACCAUCUCCUAAGGCUAAAUACUCUCUAGUGACCGAUAGUGAACCAGUACCGUGAGGGAAAGGUGAAAAGCACCCCGGAAGGGGAGUGAAAUAGAACCUGAAACCGUGUGCUUACAAGUAGUCAGAGCCCGUUAAUGGGUGAUGGCGUGCCUUUUGUAGAAUGAACCGGCGAGUUACGAUUUGAUGCAAGGUUAAGCAGUAAAUGUGGAGCCGUAGCGAAAGCGAGUCUGAAUAGGGCGUUUAGUAUUUGGUCGUAGACCCGAAACCAGGUGAUCUACCCUUGGUCAGGUUGAAGUUCAGGUAACACUGAAUGGAGGACCGAACCGACUUACGUUGAAAAGUGAGCGGAUGAACUGAGGGUAGCGGAGAAAUUCCAAUCGAACCUGGAGAUAGCUGGUUCUCUCCGAAAUAGCUUUAGGGCUAGCCUCAAGUGAUGAUUAUUGGAGGUAGAGCACUGUUUGGACGAGGGGCCCCUCUCGGGUUACCGAAUUCAGACAAACUCCGAAUGCCAAUUAAUUUAACUUGGGAGUCAGAACAUGGGUGAUAAGGUCCGUGUUCGAAAGGGAAACAGCCCAGACCACCAGCUAAGGUCCCAAAAUAUAUGUUAAGUGGAAAAGGAUGUGGCGUUGCCCAGACAACUAGGAUGUUGGCUUAGAAGCAGCCAUCAUUUAAAGAGUGCGUAAUAGCUCACUAGUC